rnacentral:lncRNA from 1 species
GGUCGAUCCCACGGGAGCGCAUCAGCGACUGCUCGCGCCAUCCACUAGACCUGGGUCUGAAUACUAUACUCACACUGUGCGUCCUUGUGGCUGGAGAAGGGGUGAAGGGCCCGGGCCUCCAGCAGUUCCAGGGACUGUGGUAGAGGGGUUCCCCGCGCCUCCCCAAGCCCAGGCCGCUUACCGGUCUUUGCACCGUGGGCACAGGGCAGGUCGGCCUUGGGUUCCCCUCCGCACGCGCAGCGACCCCGGGCUGUCUGCAGAGUGUAAGAAGUUGGGCCGACCUGGGUAGGGCUUGCACCUGCGUGACUCAGAGUCCUGGCCAGACCUGCUAAUCCGUGAUUCUGGGCCUGGGCUCCGAGGUUUGAGCCGCUUCCCUGGAAUCCCUGCGCUGCCCUAACCUGUUGGGGACCUGUGGCAAGUAGGGAGGAGGCCAAAGCAGCCAGAUCCUUGCGGGACCGGCGGGCACCCCGUUCAUCAAGGGAAUUGCCACACCCCAACUCCCGGCUGAGCGCGCCCCUGUGGAGGGAGCAGCUGAGAGGCAGCCCCUGGGCUGGAGGCCUCACAACACACACCUGUACAUGCUCCUUAUCACAGGUGCUAAUCGGAGCUUCAGCCCUGCCCUGGGGAUCUGCAGGUGAAUUAUAGGAGAUCACUGGGCGGCGUCCUGGUUCCUGCUUGGUCCCUGAAUAUCCUCAACCCAGCAAACCCCAGGUACCUGGGGUUGAGUCACCUACCACAAGCAUCUCCUUCAUUCACACGGCUGGAGCAUCAGUCUGCCCACAGCCUGCCUUUGGCCAUGACAGUUCUGGGCUACAACUUGAACCAGGACCCAACCCCUGCCACACUGGCUUGGCCUGUGUACAGGGUAAAAGGUAAACUCCUGGUUCUGCCAUUCAAGGCCCUCUGUGGAGUGGCUUCCUCUCCCCCCACCCCCUUCCCCGUGUGUCCCUGGGAAACUCUUCACUAAAACCCAGGAAAGUGGCCAGUGCUCCAGAAUAUGGCCCCUACAGAUUCCCAGGUCCUCAUUCCUACAGCCUCUGAUGGCCACUUUCUAUGGCAAGAAAAAAGAGACUUUAUAAUUAAAUGAUGGGUCUUGAGAUGGGGAGAUUCUCCUUGGUUAUCUGGGCCCUUGGUUACAAGUGUCCCUGUAAGAGAGAGGCAGAGGGAAACGUGACCACAGAGAGGGAGGUGACAUGACACCAGCAGAGACCUUGGAAGAUGGCAGGAGGGAGCAGGGCCAGGAAUGCAGCUCCAGAAACUACAAGGGGGUAAGAAUGGGCUCUUCCCAGAGCCUCGGGGGGGACCUUCGGCUUCUGAGAGCUUGACUUGAGUCCGCUGGAACUGCUUCUGGACUCCGACCUCCAGAACUCUAAGAGGAUUGCUUGUGUAUUGUUUGA